GUCAGGCGGGGCCACCCGCCGAGUUUAAGCAUAUAAAUAAGCGGAGGAGAAGAAACUUACGAGGAUUCCCCUAGUAACGGCGAGCGAACCGGGAUCAGCCCAGCUUGAGAAUCGGGCGGCCGCGCCRUCCGAAUUGUAGUCUGGAGAAGCGUCCUCAGCGACGGACCGGGCCCAAGUCCCCUGGAAAGGGGCGCCGGGGAGGGUGAGAGCCCCGUCCG
rnacentral:rRNA from 1 species